GGGGAUUUAGCUCAGUGGUAGAGCGUUUGCCUAGCAAGCGCAAGGCCCUGGGUCCGGUCCCCAGCUCCG
rfam:Rattus norvegicus chromosome 8, whole genome shotgun sequence.